rnacentral:rRNA from 1 species
CAGCAAGGAAUAUUGCGCAAUGGACGAAAGUCUGACGCAGCAACACCGCGUGGAGGAUGACGGCCUUCGGGUUGUAAACUCCUUUUCUGGGGGAAGAGAAAGGACGGUACCCCAGGAAUAAGUCUCGGCUAACUACGUGCCAGCAGCCGCGGUAAAACGUAGGAGGCGAACGUUAUCCGGAUUUACUGGGCGUAAAGCGCAUGCAGGCGGUUUCUUAAGUCGGACGUGAAAGCUCCUGGCUCAACCGGGAGAGGUCGUUCGAAACUGGGGAACUUGAGGAUGGUAGAGGAGAGUGGAAUUCCCGGUGUAGUGGUGAAAUGCGUAGAUAUCGGGAGGAACACCAGUGGCGAAGGCGGCUCUCUGGGCCAUUCCUGACGCUAAGAUGCGAAAGCUAGGGGAGAGAACGGGAUUAGAUACCCUGGUAGUCCACGCCGUAAACGAUGUCAACUAGCCGUUGGUCUUAUUCGUAAGAUUAGUGGCGUAGCUAACGCGAUAAGUUGACCGCCUGGGGAGUACGGCCGCAAGGUUA